ensembl:lncRNA
CUCGAAGAGAAAACGCGAGAUUUUUUCUUAAAUGUUGGAUUCUUGAAGUGAAAACGCGUGAUUUUCGCUUUAAUUGGGGAUUUGAGAAAAGAAAACGCGUGAUUUUUUGUGUUAAAUGGGGGAUUUGUGAAGAGAAAACGCAAGUUAUCCGGAUAAACAGGGGAUUUGCAAAUUGAAAACAUGCGAUGUUCGGGUUAACUGGGGGAAUCUCGAAGAGAAAACACGUGGUUUUCGGGUUAAAUGGGGGAUUUGCGAAGAGAAAAUGCGUGAUUUUCGCUUAAAUGGGGGAUUCUCGAAGAGAAAACGUGUGAUUUUCGCUUAAAUGGGGGGCUUGCAAAGAGAAAACGUGUCAUUUUCACGUGAAAUGGGGAAUUCUCAAAGAGAAAACGUGAUUUACGCAUAAGUGUGUGAUUUUCGAAAAGAAAACCCGUGUUUUUUGCUUAAAUGGGGGAUUUGUGUAAAGAAAACGCGUGAUUUUCUGGUUAAUUGGAGGAUUUCCGAAGAGAAAACGUGUGAUUUUCGCUUAAAUGGGGGAUUUCCGAAGAGAAAACGCGUGAUUUUCGCAUAAAUGGGGGAUUCUCGAAGAGAAAACGCUUGAUUUUCAUUUAAAUUGAUGAUUCUCAAAGAGAAAACACGUGAUUUUCGCUUAAAUGUUGGAUUCUCGGAGAGAAAACGCGUGAUUUUCGCUUAAAUGGGGGAUUUCCGAAGAGAAAACGCAUGAUUUUCUGGUGUAAUGGGGGAUUUGCGAAGAGAAAACGCGUGAUUUUCGCUUAGAUGGGGGAUUUGCAAAUUGAAAACGCGUGAUUUUCGCUUAAAUGGGGGACUUGCAUAGAAAAAAUGUGUCAUUUACAAGUUAAAUGGAGGAUUCUCAAAGAGAAAACGUGAUUUUCAUUAAAUGUUGGAUUCUCGAAGAGAAAACGCGUGAUUUUCGCUUAAAUGGGGGAUUUCCGAAGAGAAAACGUGUGAUUUUCAAGUUAAAUGGGGGAUUUCCGAAGAGAAAACGUGUGAUUUUCGCUUAAAUGGGGGAUUUGAGAAAACGCUUGAUUUUCGUUAAAUGUUGGUUUCUCGAAGAGAAAAUGCGUGAUUUUCGCUUAAAUGGGGGAUUUCCGAAGAGAAAACGCGUGAUUUUCAAGUUAAA